AGCAGCUGCAACUUCACAUCUGUAUCCUGUCCAUCCUGUAGGACACCUGGACACAGUAAGCCAGAGUUACUAGGAGUAUGUGUGUUGAUAUGGGCAAGUUUGAACCACAGAAAAAGAGAGACAGAAGAUGAAGGUCUCCCUGGUAUUCUGGUGGGCAGCUACAUGUCGGCUGGUUGCCGAUGUUGACCGAGCAGUUGCCUCCAUUCACGCAGUAGUCUUUACAAGUGUGGCGGUUGCAGUUGGGUCCUGUGAAACCUUUUGGGCAUCUGCAGGUAGGAGCACCUAGGAAACAGGCUUUCAGCCUGUGAUUGCUGUUGCUAAUGAAUACUACAGAGAGCUUUCCUGCACAUCAAAUGGAUGGAGAGAAAUUGUACUAACAAUUUUCAUAGCAUGUAAAACAUGUUUGCUCAGCUGCCAUCUGUGGUUUCACAUAAAUGCUUCUAUUCUUUCACAUCAAAUUUGACAUUUCAUGUUUAUUUUACUUAAUAAUUCACAA